rnacentral:rRNA from 1 species
AGUGAACGCUGGCGGUAGGCCUAACACAUGCAAGUCGGACGGCAGCACAGUAAGAGCUUGCUCUUACGGGUGGCGAGUGGCGGACGGGUGAGGAAUACAUCGGAAUCUACUUUUUCGUGGGGGAUAACGUAGGGAAACUUACGCUAAUACCGCAUACGACCUACGGGUGAAAGCAGGGGAUCUUCGGACCUUGCGCGAUUGAAUGAGCCGAUGUCGGAUUAGCUAGUUGGCGGGGUAAAGGCCCACCAAGGCGACGAUCCGUGGCUGGUCUGAGAGGAUGAUCAGCCACACUGGAACUGAGACACGGUCCAGACUCCUACGGGAGGCAGCAGUGGGGAAUAUUGGACAAUGGGCGCAAGCCUGAUCCAGCCAUACCGCGUGGGUGAAGAAGGCCUUCGGGUUGUAAAGCCCUUUUGUUGGGAAAGAAAAGCAGCAGGUUAAUACCCCGCUGUUCUGACGGUACCCAAAGAAUAAGCACCGGCUAACUUCGUG